rnacentral:rRNA from 1 species
UACGGAGGGUGCGAGCGUUGUCCGGAAUCACUGGGCGUAAAGGGCGCGUAGGCGGCCCGAUAAGUAGGGGGUGAAAUCCUGCGGCUCAACCGCAGGGCUGCCUUCUAAACUGUCAGGCUAGAGCACGGUAGAGGCAGAUGGAAUUCCCGGUGUAGCGGUGGAAUGCGUAGAGAUCGGGAAGAACAUCAGUGGCGAAGGCGGUCUGCUGGGCCGUUGCUGACGCUGAUGCGCGACAGCGUGGGGAGCAAACAGG